GCCUGGGUGGCUAAGAUGGUUAAGCAUCUGACUUCAGCUCAGGUCAUGAUCUCAUGGUUUGUGAGUUCGUGUCCUGCAUCAGGCU
rnacentral:tRNA from 1 species